rnacentral:rRNA from 1 species
GACGAACGCUGGCGGCGUGCUUAACACAUGCAAGUCGAACGGAAAGGCCCUGCUUUUGUGGGGUGCUCGAGUGGCGAACGGGCGAGUAACACGUGAGUAACCUGCCCUUGACUUUGGGAUAACUUCAGGAAACUGGGGCUAAUACCGGAUAGGAGCUCCUGCUGCAUGGUGGGGGUUGGAAAGUUUCGGCGGUUGGGGAUGGACUCGCGGCUUAUCAGCUUGUUGGUGGGGUAGUGGCUUACCAAGGCUUUGACGGGUAGCCGGCCUGAGAGGGUGACCGGCCACAUUGGGACUGAGAUACGGCCCAGACUACUACGGGAGGCAGCAGUGGGGAAUAUUGCACAAUGGGCGGAAGCCUGAUGCAGCAACGCCGCGUGCGGGAUGACGGCCUUCGGGUUGUAAACCGCUUUCGCCUGUGACGAAGCGUGAGUGACGGUAAUGGGUAAAGAAGCACCGGCUAACUACGUG